rnacentral:lncRNA from 1 species
UUUUAAUAAACAUUGUAUUUUGCAUUGACUUGGAUGUAUGGUGGAUGCGCGCCUGAGAGCCAUGUGAUAUGCCAACUCAAUUAAUGAGUCAUCAUCCAACGCUUCUCCUUUUUUCUAAUUUUUAAUUUCUGAUUUCUAUUUUCUUUUAUUUCUUUUAAUUCCAUUUUAUUUCUAAAAUUCACAUCUCUUUCAUUAUUGGUCCAAAAAUUAUGGGACCAAUUG